UGGGGAAUAUUGCACAAUGGGCGCAAGCCUGAUGCAGCCAUGCCGCGUGUAUGAAGAAGGCCUUCGGGUUGUAAAGUACUUUCAGCGGGGAGGAAGGUGUUGUGGUUAAUAACCGCAGCAAUUGACGUUCCCGCAGAAGAAGCACCGGCUAACUCCGUGCCAGCAGCCGCGGUAAUACGGAGGGUGCAAGCGUUAAUCGGAAUUACUGGGCGUAAAGCGCACGCAGGCGGUCUGUCAAGUCGGAUGUGAAAUCCCCGGGCUCAACCUGGGAACUGCAUUCGAAACUGGCAGGCUAGAGUCUUGUAGAGGGGGGUAGAAUUCCAGGUGUAGCGGUGAAAUGCGUAGAGAUCUGGAGGAAUACCGGUGGCGAAGGCGGCCCCCUGGACAAAGACUGACGCUCAGGUGCGAAAGCGUGGGGAGCAAACA
rnacentral:rRNA from 1 species